rnacentral:sRNA from 2 species
CAGUAGUCACCGCUCAAUCGCCCUCGCGGCGAACCGGGGAACCACAACCUUCGGGCGGGCUCGUCGGAGCGCAUCACCAUCGAUGCGCUUCUCGCGAAACCGUUCCGAAUCGGGGUGAAUCGCGUUGCCACGCAUGAGUGUCCAGUGGAUACCUCAUGCGCGAAACACGCGUAGGGCCACUCUUCCGGCCCGAACCCGACAGCUAACUCGGUCGGCGGUACAGGAAGAUCUG